UACGUAGGGGGCAAGCGUUGUCCGGAAUCAUUGGGCGUAAAGCGCGUGUAGGCGGCUCGGUAAGUCCGCUCUGAAAGCCCGGGGCUCAACCCCGGGAGGCGGGUGGAUACUGCUGAGCUCGAGUCCGGAAGAGGAGUGUGGAAUUCCUGGCGUAGCGGUGAAAUGCGCAGAUAUCAGGAGGAACACCGGUGGCGAAGGCGGGUCUCUGGGCCGUAACUGACGCUGAGGAGCGAAAGCAUGGGGAGCGAACAGG
rnacentral:rRNA from 1 species